rnacentral:rRNA from 1 species
GAUGAACGCUGGCGGCGUGCCUAAUACAUGCAAGUCGAGCGAACAGACGAGGAGCUUGCUCCUCUGACGUUAGCGGCGGACGGGUGAGUAACACGUGGAUAACCUACCUAUAAGACUGGGAUAACUUCGGGAAACCGGAGCUAAUACCGGAUAAUAUAUUGAACCGCAUGGUUCAAUAGUGAAAGACGGUUUUGCUGUCACUUAUAGAUGGAUCCGCGCCGCAUUAGCUAGUUGGUAAGGUAACGGCUUACCAAGGCAACGAUGCGUAGCCGACCUGAGAGGGUGAUCGGCCACCCGGGAACUGAGACCCGGCCCAGCCCCCCAGGGGAGGCAGCAGUAGGGAAUUUUCCGAAAUGGGCGAAAGCCUGACGGAGAAACGCCGGGGGAGUGAUGAAGGUCUUCGGAUCGUAAAACUUUGUUAUUAGGGAAAAAAAAAUGUGUAAGUAACUAUGCCCGUCUUGACGGUACCUAAUCAGAAAGCCCCGGCUAACUACGU